GGUCAUGAUUGUGGCGGUAGAGCGGUAUGACGUCCAGAUCCUGGCAUUCCCAGUAGUUGCGGAUCAGGCACAUCAUGCCAUUGUCGGCCUUGUCCGACCGCGCCAGCGGGGUUGUGUCGCCGACCCACCACGAGUCGGCGCGCGGGCCGUGAACAUGCAACGGCUUGAGUCGCCCCGGGAACCGCGCCCGGCGCAUGUUCGUGCCGUCAGGGCGGACUAUCGCGUUGAAGCCGACCUUGUCGGUGUAGUUGUGCCACCGGU
rnacentral:rRNA from 1 species